AGACAACCUCUCCUGUCUCCACAGCACAGGUGAGCCUGGGGUGUGCUGAAUUCAUGUGGCUCAGUACCUGUGCCAGGUUACAGCCUACUGAUGAAGCUCUGACAUGGUAGCUCUUGCCUUCAGGGGCUCCAGGCCAUCACAAUACUUUCUGGUAUGCCUGCCACUGAAGCUGUGCUUCCAUACUGGGACAGUCACCUUUUGUCACAGGGCCUCGGCAUUAGGCCUUGACGUUCCCACAGAGAGCGACUGUUGAGGCCGCCAUUUUGGUGGUGCUUCUGGCUUCACCAGUACUGCCACACUGAGGAGCCCAAGAAGAGGGGCUUUGCCAGGAGUGCUUCGGAAUGUUCAUGAAGGGCCAGAUGCCAUUCCUCUAGAAAACUGCAAACCUGGAUCAUUUCACAGAGUUGCUUCAUAGCGCAGCCCCAGUUCAGGGCAACAUACAUGCGACCAAUGUGUGCUAGUCUCAAACACCUAGGGUUGGUCAUUUAAUACCUACAUGGGUUUGUUUCCUGCCUUGGAAGAGUGUAAGCAGGCUAAUGCUGUGGGGGCAAAGAGAUAUGCCACUGAAAUGCAUUGAGGCCUGUCACUUAAGCUGACUUUGCACCAGUGCCUUUAGAUUCGUUGUCUGAGGGUAGUUUUAAUGUGGUGAUUGAAGUAUUAUUAGCAACUAAAUGAUUGUUAGAAACCGCUCUAGCUAAACCAGCUGACUUUACAACUCUGCUGCCCUUAAAACUGAUUUCAGGAAAGCUUUUUUUUUCUAGCAUCUAAUUUGUUUUAGAUAUGAAUAAUUUACAGGCUUCUUUUAUGAUACGCCACAAAGGAUCAAUACAGAUAUAAUACAUACUCACUACUGUAUAUGCCAGCUAUUGCAAAAUUCCAUGCUGUUCUUUUCACAGAACAAAUUUCAAAUAUAUGCACCAAUUCAAUACAAAUUAUUUUCUUUAAAUCAUACAAGCUAUCCAUUAAUUCAAUAGCUAAUACUGUUUCUUAGCUUUCUUUUAUCUUCCCUCUAAUUACAAAGUCAGACAUCCCUAUUACUUUCCAGUGCUCAGCAUAGGUAACAAUAAUAGCCAUUCUUUUCUCAGGGUUCAUUUCUAACUGCUGGAAGUUGCUGCUGGGGAAAAAUAAGGCAAACUGAAAUAAGGACCAAAGCUGAUAGUUAGAACCUGUGUUUCCGAAAUGGGGGUAGUAGCAUUGUGUUUGAUACAUAUUUUAUCAUAUUCAUGCUUUUAGGUACUUAUUAUGCACAGACAUUAGGAAAUACUGUCAUUUAGAUGGCCUACACUCAUUUGGCUCUGAGGUUUCUGUCAGAUGAAGGCAUAGGAAUGCAUUUGCCCAAGAACAUCUAAGUUCUGCAAUAUGCACAGUUUGGUCUCCAUACUGUUACAGCUAGGCUUCAGAAAUCAAUACUGAUAUGACUGAUGAUAGUUUGCUCUGUCCAGAAUGACUUGGAUCUGACUAGAAUGUUCUACAUUUAUGAACUGAGUUAUACAUGGGGGCAAUUUACAUAACGGGAUUGAAGGGAACCUAGAGCAUAGCGGUGCUUCAGUUUAUAACCUGAAAUUCAAUUGGCAUUGGUAUCUAUCUGGAAUUUAGUCGGUUAAACACAAAAAGUGGACAGGAACCAGUGAAAGUGGUUAGUUGCUAUAAAGAGCAACAUCUUCUGAAAGUACAUGUAAGCCACGAAUGCUGGGUACAUUACACAUUUUUUCCUCAAAUACGUAUAAGCAGAGUUUGCCACCCACCGACACAAGAUACAGUCACAGCCAAGAUUUGGCUGGUUCUAAAAAUAGCAUAAAAUAUACGUAUUUUAAGCUUCCUUUAGUUUGGAGAAAAUAAAUAUUUAAAAGUUACAUUUAUUUAAUUUAUAAUCAAAACAAAAUUUUGCCAAACUUCCAAGUCUGACAGGUUUUACUAGUCCUUUAUUUACAAACUUGUUUUCCAUGAUGAAUCAACAUAGCAUUUAUCCUCAGAGUAAUUGGUUUGGAUAAUGUCCAAUUCGUGGCUAUCUGGGAUAUAAUACAAAGCCUUCGUAGGUCUGACCGCUGUUGUAAUAUGCAUCUAUGCUUUCAUUUGACCCUGGCAGCUCUCAAUGUUUUAAACCAUAUUUCUCUACUUCCUCUGCUCCUCAGAGAUUUUCUAGUGUGUUUUAUGUUCUGUAUUAAAACCAAUGUUAGCCACCUACCCUUCUGGGGGUGUAUACUUCUGUAUAAUAUUGGAAUGACUCACACCCUCCAGUACAAGCAAACAUAGAUAGCCACUGUUAUGGCCUAUUGAUGUGUUUAACUUGUAAUUUUUCCUUUAAAAUUCAGAAUUAUCCUUCAGUUUAACCUCUUCUAAUUCCCACUGUAUAUAGCAGAAGGAAAAUUCAAAAUGAAACAACCUCACUUCUGU
rnacentral:lncRNA from 1 species